GACGAACGCUGGCGGCGUGCUUAACACAUGCAAGUCGAACGGAAAGGCCCUGCUUUUGUGGGGUGCUCGAGUGGCGAACGGGUGAGUAACACGUGAGUAACCUGCCCUUGACUUUGGGAUAACUUCAGGAAACUGGGGCUAAUACCGGAUAGGAGCUCCUGCUGCAUGGGGGGGGUUGGAAAGUUUCGGCGGUUGGGGAUGGACUCGCGGCUUAUCAGCUUGUUGGUGGGGUAGGGGCUUACCAAGGCUUUGACGGGUAGCCGGCCUGAGAGGGUGACCGGCCACAUUGGGACUGAGAUACGGCCCAGACUCCUACGGGAGGCAGCAGUGGGGAAUAUUGCACAAUGGGCGGAAGCCUGAUGCAGCAACGCCGCGUGCGGGAUGACGGCCUUCGGGUUGUAAACCGCUUUCGCCUGUGACGAAGCGUGAGUGACGGUAAUGGGUAAAGAAGCACCGGCUAACUACGUG
rnacentral:rRNA from 1 species